CUCCGUAGGUGAACCUGCGGAGGGAUCAUUACACAAAUAUGAAGGCGGGCUGGAACCUCUCGGGGUUACAGCCUUGCUGAAUUAUUCACCCUUGUCUUUUGCGUACUUCUUGUUUCCUUGGUGGGUUCGCCCACCACUAGGACAAACAUAAACCUUUUGUAAUUGCAAUCAGCGUCAGUAACAAAUUAAUAAUUACAACUUUCAACAACGGAUCUCUUGGUUCUGGCAUCGAUGAAGAACGCAGCGAAAUGCGAUAAGUAGUGUGAAUUGCAGAAUUCAGUGAAUCAUCGAAUCUUUGAACGCACAUUGCGCCCUUUGGUAUUCCAAAGGGCAUGCCUGUUCGGGCGUCAUUUGUACCCUCAAGCUUUGCUUGGUGUUGGGCGUCUUGUCUCUAGCUUUGCUGGAGACUCGCCUUAAAGUAAUUGGCAGCCGGCCUACUGGUUUCGGAGCGCAGCACAAGUCGCACUCUCUAUCAGCAAAGGUCUAGCAUCCAUUAAGCCUUUUUUUCAACUUUUGACCUCGGAUCAGGUAGGGAUACCCGCUGAACUUAAGCAUAUCA
rnacentral:rRNA from 1 species